AUUUUUGGAUAAUCGCAUGGUAAUACGUCAAUAGAGCUACCGUUCGGUUUGAGCCUUUUGAACCUAAAGUAGUUUUUAAAGACACUACCAUGAGGAAAGUCCAUGCUAGCACUGGCUGUGAUGCCAGUAGUGUUUGUGCUAGGCGAAACCAUAAGCCUAGGGACGUCUUAGACGUUACGGCGGUCGAAAUGGCUAAGUCUUUUGAGAUAGGCUAAAAUAGACCUGAAAGUGCCACAGUGACGUAGUUUUCAUGGAAACAUGAAAAGUGGAACGCGGUAAACCCCUCAAGCUAGCAACCCAAAUUUCGGUCGGGGCACGGGAAAGCUGGAAACGAACAGACUUUCCUGACUGCAAUGAGCAGUAGACAGAUGAUUAUCGAAGGUGGUAGUACCUAGUACCACUGGAACAAAACAUGGCUUAUAGAA
rnacentral:RNase_P_RNA from 1 species